rnacentral:rRNA from 1 species
UGGGGAAUAUUGCGCAAUGGGCGAAAGCCUGACGCAGCGACUCCGCGUGAAGGAUGAAGUCUUUCGGGAUGUAAACUUCUGUCAAGAGAGAUGAUUAUGACAGUAUCUCUAGAGGAAGCACCGGCUAACUACGUGCCAGCAGCCGCGGUAAUACGUAGGGUGCAAGCGUUAUCCGGAUUUAUUGGGCAUAAAGCGCGCGUAGGCGGUAGGUUAAGUCAGAUAUUAAAGCCUUUAGCUCAACUAAAGUACGUAUUUGAUACUGACCUACUAGAGAACAGUAGAGGAAAGCGGAACUCACGGUGUAGCGGUGAAAUGCGUAGAUAUCGUGAGGAACACCAGUUGCGAAGGCGGCUUUCUGGACUGAUUCUGACGCUGAGGUGCGAAAGCGUGGGGAGCGAACGGG